AGCCGCACAUCCACAGAGGUUUUCCUGAAUCCCAUGGAGCUAGAAAUGUUUGGGGGGUAAAGAAAAGUGAAUGUUAGGAGGUUUGGGAGACAAGGUUCUGAGAGCCAGGGUGCAUGCUAGCCUGGCAGCCAUGGUAAGCGUGGGCCAUGCUCAGCUGCACUGUCUCCCAGCCCAGCACAUGCCUGUCUGACCUCUGUGGGGCCUGGGUCAGCUCUGGUCAGCUCUGCUUGUAGAAGGUCUGCUGCAUUCAGCCCGGAAGGGGAAUGCUGUCAGAACUCUGGCAGGCAGAUCAGAGCUCAGGUGAAAGUUCAAAAACAUUCAGUUCCUCUUGAUUUUCUAUCUUCAAAAAAAAAAUGAGUCUGUUAGGAAUUACAGGUACUGUGUGUUCUUCAGUAACCCUGACUUUUUCCCUACCUUUCACUCUCCAGGAACAGUAUGAGUUCUGCUACAAGGUGGUGCAGGAAUAUAUUGAUGCAUUCUCAGAUUAUGCCAACUUCAAGUAAGCGGCAACAAGGGUCCGUGGACCAGGAGGAUUGCCUUUAAUAUUUUGUAAUAUUCUGUUUUGUUAAUAUACCCCAAAUUGUGUAUAUAUCUUAUAACUGUUUUAGAAAUUGGUACAUAGGCUUCUAUUACCUAUUAGGUGGAAAUUUUAUAUGUAAAUGUGUUAGCACUGAUAGUCCUUUUUCCAAUGUUUUAUUGGGGAAUUAAAUAGUGUGAUGUUUGGAUUGAUAUCGUGAAAUCCUCAGCCGAGAAAUUGGGCUGGAUUGUGCUUUGGUUAAUACAUCUUUCCCUAAAGAAGAUAAACACAAAAUCCAUUCCAGGUAGCUCGGCACCAACUAAGAAAAAAAGCACAAAGUUCUCAGAGCUCUCGAGGAAAGUGGUUGUCCCCAUACCACCAUGCACUGUAAAUAUCCCUCCCCUCUCUCCCUGGUCCCCUCCCCCAUCCCCACCACUGAUAUCAUGGGGAGUAAUAGGACCAGAGCGGUAUCUCUGGCACCACACUAGGGACUAUCAGGUAAUAAAAGCUUUGACUCCCUGAGGAAAUGUCUUCCCUUUGUCUGGGGGUGGGGCAGCCAUACAGGCUGGGGCUCUCCUCGGCUGUUCAUGGCCCUCCUGUUGCUGUUCUCUCUGAGUUAUCUGAGAGAGGCCACAGUCCCCCAGCUCCUCCUAUCCACCAAACACAGCCCUUCCAGUUCUUAGGUGAUCUCCAGGACCCUCCUUUCAUUCCCAGCACCUUUGGUUUAGUGGUUCUGGCCAGCCUCCCUCCCUGGGAAGGUGGCCAGGUCCUCACUGAGUCUCCUUAAGGACAGGGGCACAGGGGAGACUAGAGCUGGCUCAGCUUUGGGCUGAGGCUUAGACAAAAGUGUUGAACUUUUGUUUCUUA
rnacentral:lncRNA from 1 species